GCUGGGUGUGGUGGCGCAUGCCUGUAAUCCCAGUGGCUUGGGAGACCCAGACAGGAGAAUCACCAGCCUCAGCAACUUUGAGGCACUAAGCAACUCAGUGAGACCCUGUCUCUA
rnacentral:sRNA from 1 species